GUCUGCCGGAUGAUCGCCGAUACACAGACGAAAGGGUGUAUGGGAGGAAAGUCCGGGCUUCACAGGGCAGGAUGCCGGAUAACGUCCGGUGGAGGCGACUCCAAGGAUAGUGCAACAGAAAUAAACCGCCGUUUUACGGUAAGGGUGGAAAGGCAGUGUAAGAGACUACCGCUUUGGAGGUAACUUCAAAGGCCAUGCAAACCCCAUCCGAAGCAAGACCGAACAGAAGGAGAUACGGCUGCCCGUCGUUCCUUCGGGUAGGUUGCUUGAGUUUUGCAGCAAUGCAAAAACUAGAUAGAUGAUCAUCCAAGACAGAACCCGGCUUACAGGCAGGCUU
rnacentral:RNase_P_RNA from 1 species